CUGGAGCCUGCCCUGCUGUAGGUACGGGAAAGGGCGUUUGACGUUUCGAUUGAGUGUAGCAAAAUGGCGCUGAAAGCCGUGGUUGGACAAAAAAUUAUGAAUGAAGUCAUUCGUAACAAGAAAAAGGGACAAGGUAUUGAGUGGCGAGUUCUAGUUGUUGAUCAGCUUGCCAUGAGGAUGGUGUCAGCAUGCUGUAAAAUGCAUGAAAUAUCUGCUGAAGGUAUCACAAUUGUGGAGGAUAUAAAUAAAAAGAGAGAACCUCUGUCUACAAUGGAGGCCGUGUACUUGAUCACACCAAGUGAAAAAUCUGUACACGCAUUAAUGCAGGACUUCGCCAGUCCUAAUCGCACCAUGUAUCGUGCUGCCCAUGUGUAUUUCACUGAAGCAUGCCCAGAGGAGCUGUUUAACAAAUUGUGUCGUGCAACUGUUGCGAAGUUCAUAAAAACUUUGAAGGAAAUUAAUAUUGCAUUUGUAGCAUACGAGGAACAGGUAUUUUCUCUGGAUUCACCUGAUACAUUUCAAUGCUUCUACAAUCCCUCCUGUGCUGGUGGUCGAAAUGCAAACAUGGAACGUAUUGCUGAACAAAUAGCAACCUUGUGUGCUACUCUUGGAGAGUACCCGUCAGUCAGAUAUCGAUGUGAUUUUGACAAGAAUGUUGAAUUAGCCCAACUAGUUCAACAGAAAUUAGAUGCAUAUAAGGCAGAUGAACCUACAAUGGGUGAAGGACCAGAAAAAGCUCGUUCCCAGCUUUUGAUUUUGGAUAGAGGAUUCGACUGUGUCUCACCAUUACUUCAUGAACUAACACUGCAAGCAAUGGCAUAUGAUUUACUGCCAAUAGAAAAUGAUGUCUAUAAGUAUGAAGCAACAGCAGGGGCACCAGAAAAAGAGGUGCUGCUGGAUGAAAAUGAUGAAUUGUGGGUUGGGCUCAGACAUCAACACAUUGCUGUUGUUUCACAGAAUGUUACAAAGAAUCUCAAGAAGUUCAUUGAUUCCAAACGAAUGCCACAGGGUGAUAAGCAGUCAAUGAGGGACCUAUCACAGAUGAUAAAGAAGAUGCCACAAUACCAGAAAGAGUUAAGCAAGUACUCAACACAUCUUCACUUGGCUGAAGACUGUAUGAAAGCUUAUCAAGGCUAUGUAGACAAACUGUGCAAAGUAGAACAGGAUCUUGCAAUGGGCACUGAUGCAGAAGGAGAGAGGAUAAAAGAUCACAUGCGAAAUAUAGUGCCUGUGCUUCUUGAUCAAGGUGUGACGAAUUAUGAUAAAAUGCGUAUUAUUCUGCUUUAUAUAAUAUCAAAGAAUGGCAUAAGCGAAGAGAACCUUAACAAACUUGUCCAACAUGCCCAAAUUAAUCCAUCUGAAAAGCAGACCAUUAUUAAUAUGGCCAACUUGGGUGUUAAUGUUGUUGUUGAUGGGACACGCAAGAAAUUCUACCAGGUUCCCCGGAAAGAACGUAUUACUGAACAAACAUACCAAAUGUCACGUUGGACACCAGUCAUCAAGGACAUAAUGGAAGAAUGUAUUGAAGAUAAAUUGGAUCCUAAACAUUUUCCAUUUUUGGCAGGAAGAGCUGCUCCAUCUGGCUACCAUCCACCAACAAGUGCGAGGUAUGGCCAUUGGCAUAAAGAUAAAGGUCAACAAGCUGUAAAGAAUGUUCCUCGUCUAAUUGUCUUCAUUGUUGGUGGUGUGUGCUUCUCAGAAAUACGCUGUGCUUAUGAAGUAACCAACACUGUAAAGAACUGGGAAGUCAUUAUUGGCUCUUCUCACAUUAUGACGCCAGAGGACUUCCUCAGUAAUCUUACGAAUUUGAGCUAAUCUGUUAGCACAGUAUAUCUAGCCUGCCCAAAAAGGUUAGCAUGUGUGUUUCUGCCGAAAUAGGAACUUUAUGUUGAUGGGGUGAAAAGUCACCAGAUCUAUCAAUAUUAUGUGAAAGAUAAAUGUAAUUCCAGUGUUAGGAUUUGUACUCAAGUCUGUAUUGUAGUCAGUUGCCUUAAAACAAGAGCUCUGUAGCUCUUGUUGCAUUUAUCAUAUUAAAGUAUUUUUUAAGAUAGCAUACAAGUUUGUAAAAAAUUCUUGUAAUUCAUAAUUUGUGUGUGUGUGUAAAAUAUUUAGAUAACAUAAUUAUGCCAUAUACAGGCUCAUUAAUGAAAGGAAAGAAAGCUUAUAGAUAUACCAGUAUGAAUUACUUGGAUUGUAAGAUUGCUAGAAAAAAUGCCUUCAAGCAAAAUGUAGGAACUUUCAGACUUAUUUAAGUGUCCUUUUGUGCAGAGGCAGUUAAUGAAUAGUAGAGUUUGUCUUCUGCAAAGCAAAUGUCCCUUUAACCUCUCUGGUCUUUUGGGCAUUCUGACUAUAUUAACUAAAAAGCAGAAUGUGAUGAAACUUCCAUCUUGCUGUCAUUUUAAUGUAUGCAUUCUUAAUAAUGUAAUGUGUUUCUGAAAACACUUUCAAUAAGAUGAUCUGUAUGUUGUUUGAGAAUGACAUAGUCAACUUAAAUUGUUCCUUUACCAGAGGACCAAACUGUGUUAAAGAGAGACGUUCAAAAUCUUCCAUUUUCAAUAAACACCAUAGUUUUAAUAAUAGUUUUUCAAAGUUAUACUAUUUAAAGAGUGGAUUCUUUGCACAGCAAUAACUACUUAUAAGACUAAGAGGAUAAGCCUGUGUUGCUUCACUAGUACAAUAAUUGUAAGUAGAUUAUUAUUCAAACAUUUUAAAUUGCAGAUUCAUGUAAAAGCACAUUUUGUAGCUAGAUCUUCAUUUCUGUAUUGAUUAGUUCUGUCUUCAUGAGACUGCAUUUUCCUGAAGUGUCAAAUUUUGUGAGAAGCAAUGUCACAAAUCUUUCUGCCUUAUAUGUAAGCUUGUUAAUUCAUAACUGUUAUUCGAUAUAGUGUUCAGUAAAACUUGGAUGUGCUCCAGAAUCUGUAAAUUAACUGUUUCCAUAAUAGUCUUUAGUGUUGUUGUAAUACCCAUUUUUUGACAUCGAAUAUUUUUAUCUAACUUCUUAAAAAUUUGUCUUACAAGUACAGAGACAUUAUUUUUUAUUAAUAUUUCAUCAUGAUUUAUUUGGACAGUAAAAUAUGUUAAUAACUUUAUAAGCAAUACUGUGAUAGUGUAUGUUUGUGUUGAAAUGUUUGAGUUCGUGGGAAAUAAUAAACGAUGUUAUGCUUCUGCCUGUUUGGGAAUAUGUUGUCAGUCUCAUAUUUUGCAGGCAGACUUAAGUGCUGUAGUUACCUGAUUGACAGUUUAUUAGGCACACAAUUUUAUGUGAAACUUUUGUAAAUCUUCGAUAAGAAAAGGAAUAUGAAAGGUCUUCUUAAACACCAAUAUAUACUAGAGAAUCGGCUAAGCAUCAAGCAGUGGUAUUAUUGCUUGCCAUAUAAUUUAGGCAGUUGCCAUAUAAAUAAAAUUUGUGGAAUACCAUAUUAUGUACUUACAUACACAAGUACUGUAUUUUUAUUGAAACAAAAAGUGAACAGGUAUGUAAAAUGAGCUCCAGCUGGAAAGCUGGUUAUUGAUCUUUAUUUUUAAAAAAUUCUGGAUUGCUAUUUGGAAGUGCUGUCCCCCAUGUGUGGUUCUUGCACACUGCUAGACAAGAUUGAUUUAACAAACCUUUGUACCGUAUGAAAACUAAGAAGGCUACGUAAAGAAUCAUUAAACUAAAAUUUGAGAUAACCUGAAGUAAGUCUGGGAAUUAGUGUUUAAGCUAUCCCUGUAGUCCCCCCCCCCCCCCCCUCCCUCCAUCACCAGAAAAAAAAGAAAAGGGAAAAA
rnacentral:misc_RNA from 1 species